rnacentral:rRNA from 1 species
GAUGGUAGUGUAUUGGACUACCAUGGCUUUAACGGGUAACGGAGGAUUAGGGUUCGAUUCCGGAGAGGGAGCCUGAGAAACGGCUACCACAUCUAAGGAAGGCAGCAGGCGCGUAAAUUACCCAAUCCUGACUCAGGGAGGUAGUGACAAGAAAUAACGGACCGAAGCCUAUGUUUCGGGAUUGCAAUGAGUAGAAUUUAAACCCCUUUACGUGGAUCAAUUGGAGGGCAAGUCUGGUGCCAGCAGCCGCGGUAAUA